rnacentral:rRNA from 1 species
GACGAACGCUGGCGGCGUGCUUAACACAUGCAAGUCGAGCGAGGCCCACCUUUCGGGGUGGUGUCCUAGCGGCGAACGGGUGAGUAACACGUGGGCAACCUGCCCUCAGCUCUGGGAUAACUCCAAGAAAUUGGGGCUAAUACCGGAUAUGACCGCUGACCGCAUGGUCUGGUGGUGGAAAGAUUUAUCGGCUGGGGAUGGGCCCGCGGCCUAUCAGCUUGUUGGUGGGGUAGUGGCCUACCAAGGCGACGACGGGUAGCCGGCCUGAGAGGGUGACCGGCCACACUGGGACUGAGACACGGCCCAGACUCCUACGGGAGGCAGCAGUGGGGAAUAUUGCGCAAUGGGCGAAAGCCUGACGCAGCGACGCCGCGUGGGGAUGACGGCCU